CGAGUCCCUCGCAGCUCCAAACCAUCUAAGCUUAGGGAUUACCUGCACAGUUAGAAACAAGGUGAGUUUACAAAAAGUCAGUGUGUAAUUCCAAUAUCAAACAAACAGUGAAUAACACAAUAUCAGUACAGGCUGGGCCAAAGCCCUAUUCAGUAUCAGUAUAGUCUGGGCCAAAGCCCUAUUCAGUAUCAGUACAGUGCAAAAUGCAACCCAUCCCAUAACCAUCCACCACACCACCUGUACUAAUCAGUACACCUACGGGGAUAUCAAUCGACCCACCCAACUAGCAUACCAAUAUCGCAGCAAAGCUGCCAGUAGUAAUAAUAAUGCAGCAUAGCUGCCAGUAACAGUAAGUGUGGCAAGCCACUAGUAAAAUAUAAAUGUGACAAAGUCACCAAUACAGUACUUCCUCCAUAUCAUAAGCCCAACCCCAUGCAGAUGUCGUGUCAUAAAUAAUACGUGCAUGCAGUAUGUCAUACUCAAAACCAGUCAUUUAAAAGUAUUACACACAUCAUUUAACCUACCACUAGCGUUAUAAAGGUUAUAUCAUCAGUUAGGGGUAAAACAUUAAUUAUUACCCUUCAGGGGUGUUUCGGUCAUUUAACAGAUUUUAAAGUCUCAGUACAGAUAACGACCUCAACGAAGGUCUACAGUCACCUCGAGUGACUCAGAUAACCCAUUCAGGUGAAACGGUGUAAUGGGCCCCUAGCCCAACAUUCGACCCAAGUGGGCCCACAGGCUCGUGUGGCCCGUUAGCCUAAUUCUAGCCAUGGCUAUGUGAAUUCCAUAGCCCAGUCCAAUAUUUAUCAUCUUUCAUGAAUUUUAAUCUGCAUGGGCCCAUAAGCCCAUUGGGCCCAUACGGCCCAUUUCGGCCCAUAUAGGCCCACAAUAGCCCAAGCCCGCGAAAGCGCUCGCGGUGGCCUCUACAGUCUGUCGCCCAGGAUUUGUGGCUCGAUUGACCUUGCGAGCGUUCACGCGCUCGUGCGGUCGCAAAUGCCGAAGUUUCGACUUUUCAGCUCUUCGACUUUUGCCGAUUCACAGUUACGCAGUGUGUGAGUACACACCCUUUUGGCUUUUGAUCAGUAAUAGAGUGGUGUACAGUUACACACCUUUUUUGGAAAGAAAGACGUCGAACCCUGCGCGCUCAACCUAAAUCCAAAACAAUAAACCUUAGCCAGUUCUCCAACGCUUGGGUUAACCCCCAAAUAUGUACUCACAAAUUCCCAACAAUAUGCAUCGCUUACCUUGCUAAGACCAAUGGGGCUUAAACCACCCUUAUCCAACGAUUACCCUUCUAUAAACCAUAAUCUGCAUCAACAACCCAUUUAUUCAGUAACUUCAUAAUAUUUUACUAAAACUAAGUGCACCUCUUACUAAGACGUGAACUACAAACGCAAAACAAAAGAAUUCGGCCCACCCCCUUGAGUAACGUCACAACCCUCUAGCACCAUUUGAACGUGAUAGAAACAUUAGAUGAGCCUAUCCUCACGACGGUUAAGAGGAUUUGGCUCAAGAAUACCCAAAUCGAACAUGAACACAAAAGGAGCCUUCUACCAUUCGGCCAGAGAAAACACUUACCUUCAAUUAACAGAGAUUAAGAAUCGAUUAGGCCUCCACUGCUUCGGUCACACAGGAAGAGAAGCAAGCGGCUAACUUCAAGAGAGAAAGAAACAAAGAAAAGGACAAAGGAGGAGUUGGGUUCAGUUUCUUCGACUUUAGAAACAAGAGAAAAGAUGUUCAAGACAACAAAAGGAAAAAGGCUACCAAUGUUCUGCUAAAGAGAAUUCGGCAGGCUUGACUCAAAGACGAAAAGAGAAGAAAUUGAGAAGAGGUAAGAGUCACAAUCAAUUCGGCACAAAAGGGUAACACAAAAAUACCAAAAGUUGCAAAGAAGGAUUCGACACCUACUCCUAAACAUCAAUUGCCGAAAAUGCCUAACCCAAAACCCCUUGGCCAAAUUUACACCCUCACACACACCCAUUCGGCUACAACUCCUCCCCAAUUCAAAUUCCAUGAUAAUCUCCACGAUUUUCUCCCCUUAUCCCUCCUUGAAAUCCUCUUCAACAACCCUUAAGACCAAUUCAAACCCUUCAUCCUCAGUGUUCGACUCCAACACUAACUCUUGCUGCCCCCUCCUAGAAAAAUAAAUACUUCUUUGCUUGUCAUAGGAUUCGAACUCAUGCCCUCCUUAGAUGCUCCACACGCCACUUGCCACUAAGCCACAAGGCUUCUUAUGUCAUCAACCAACCACGAUUAUUUAUAAGACACAAAUGCCAAUAACCAGGUUCAUUUAAGAGAAAAACAAAAAUGCUGCAAAAACCGAAGCUUAACCCACAGGACUCCUCAGACCCCCAAACACACCCAAAUCAACUAACCAUUAAAGCAAACAGGAAAUUUGUGCUAAAAUCGGCAAAAUUACAAACCCUAAAUUUUUAAGGCGUUACAGAUGGCAUGGAAGUCCAUGCUCUACAAAAUAUAUUUCUUAAACAUUUUAAAAACACAUUUGUUUUCCAUGAAAUCAGAUGCCUGGUUAUAUGACAAAUUCAGAGAUACAAUUUAACAUAAUCAUACAUUUUACAAACUUAUACAGACAUAGCGAACCAAAACAUACCAUCAAAACUACUAGUACCAUAACAUGCAAAUAUACAUAUUACAAAUACCUUAAACACUUCAACAUGUACCUUGUUUUCAUAUGGACCUUACGGAGAGGCUAAAUACAGUUCACGAAACAAAAUGAGCCAAAAUGGUAAUUUUAAGCGAAUAGCCCCACCUGACCAAAAAAUCCCAAAUUGUGUGGCAUUGACAGUCCCAAUUUUGACUUUUCGUCGAAUGUUGAUUUCUC
rnacentral:lncRNA from 1 species